CCUACGGGAGGCAGCAGUGAGGAAUAUUGGUCAAUGGCCGGAAGGCUGAACCAGCCAAGUCGCGUGAGGGACUAAGGCCCUAUGGGUCGUAAACCUCUUUUGUCAGGGAGCAAAGGCGUCCACGUGUGGACGAGAGGAGAGUACCUGAAGAAAAAGCAUGGGCUAACUCCGCGCCAGCAGACGCGGUAAUACGGAUGACGCGAGUGUUAUCCGGAUUUAGUGGGUUUAAGGGGUGCGUAGGCGGAGUGAAAAGACAGCGGUAAAAGUUCGGGGCUCAGCCCCGUCGUGCCGUUGAAACUGACGCCCUUGAGUGAGUGAGAAGUAAGCGGAAUGCGUGGUGUAGCGGUGAAAUGCAUAGAUAUCACGCAGAACGCCGAUUGCGAAGGCAGCUUACCGGCGCUCAACUGACGCUGAGGCACGAAAGUGCGGGUAUCGAACAGGAUUAGAUACCCGAGUAGUC
rnacentral:rRNA from 1 species